AACGCCAAUGCAAAUGGCCGUCAGGCGAUCAUUUAGUUUGAGAUCUGAUGGACAAGUGAUGGUAGCCAUUUAGUUGUGAAUAUUGCUUGUUAACUUUUGUAUUAUUCGUUUUUCAAACCACAUUGAGGACAGUACGUAUAGACAGAAUGGCACCAAAUGAGGCGCAAGAAACCUGUUAUAUCCUUCUCAAAUUUGCAAACGGAGAAUUGGGAAUGGGAACUCUAGAUUUCAUUAAGAAGCCAUUCUACAUGUUGGUUUAUUCUCAAAGGGGACCCAAGUUCAAGAUCUUAUACGGGAUGAAACUUAAAUUGCUGUUGUGAAGCUUGAUUUUCUUAAAUAACUUUUUAAAUUUAAUAAUCAGAGGUGUGCGUUGACAAUUUCAAGGUGGCCAAAAGAUCAACAGUGUUCUUUCCAGAUUCCUGUUGUAGAUACGUCAAGUUUCAGAAAGUGGCCUUUGAAAGCUGCCAUUCUUCUGGCAUGUUCUGAUAAGAAACUAGAUAUCAUAAUGAGAAGAAAUGAUAUGGCUGCACAGAAAUCAAUCUUGAAUUCUCAAGAGUUACGAGAAGCAAUGACAGUGUCUGAAGAUGAAAAUGAUAAGGAAGAUGAUAAUAAAGAUGACAGCAGUGAAGAUGAAAAUAGAAAUGAUAGGCCUACUGACUCGAAUAAUGCAAUCCCGAAAGAGUCACCACUGCCAUCACCUAAGUCAGAAGAAAGAAGUCAUCACCAAAGAAGAAAUGCAGAGAAUGGAAGAGGAACUGGCUGCAGCGAAAUUUAAUAUGCUAGAUAAUCCAUCUAUUCUUUCCCAUAUCUUGAAGGAAGGUUUGUAGUUGCUGCAAUCAAUUAAUUUCUAUUGCUGGUCAUCUCCUCUUCAAUACAGGACCAGGAAUACAGCUUUUAUAGCUAGUGAUCUUAAGAAAUUACAUUUAAAAUUGUUAAAUGUUCUCUUGUCUUUCAAUAAUCAUUGUUUUGGUUUUACUAAAUUAGGUAAAACUUAGCCGAACGUAUGCUAUUCUCAUUAAUCCAAAUGCCCUGAAAAACGCUUCAGUUACGGGAAGGGAGGCAAGAAAACAACGUACUUGAAUGCGAUGAUAAAUGUUAUAAUGGAGGACCUUUGGGAAAGAAAAUUCAUGUCCCAGCAUUCUCUUAGUGAAAAUAAAGCAAAAAAUGACAAGUCUGACACACCAGCGAAGCCUGCCCUACCCCCUGAUUCCGUUCAGACAAUCAUAGUUUUUUUAGAUUAUGUCACCGAAUUUUGGAGAAAGAUACACAUCACCCUGGAAGCAAAGCGCAUUAGGAGUGCUAUCAGUACCAAACUCUCGACCGAAAACUUGGCGUUCAAGAAAAGAUCAUCGAUUGUUGCAUCAGCUACUGCCAGAAAUAAUUCAACCGUUGAUGAUAAUGGACAACCUGGUGCUGCUGUCGGUGCUGAUGAAAACGAAGAUGACGAAAUAACAACUUAAUUAUUCAAAUAACUCUUACAUGAUGAUGAUGAGAGAUAGGUGCGUCUGCCAUGAUCCGGGGAUGCCGGGUUCUGCAGACAUCUGGUCUUCAAGUUGAAGACCCUCAGCUCCGGCUGGGAAUUCGUUUCUUUUUGUUUGUCUGGAGUGUGAUUGUUUUUUUUUGUUUUUUUUGAAGAAUGAUUGGGGGAAGGCGGAAAUUUGGUUUUGCUUUUUUGAUUUUUCUUUUUAGGGAACUGGAAAGAUGGCAACGUUUGACGGAUAGGAGAGGGUUAGAGAAUUGGCGCCGAUAGUCGUUGUUCAGUCGCGUGUACGCCUUGGUGAAGAGAGUUUGCUGUUAAUUUUUUCGAGUGUGUUUGUUGUUGUUGGUGCCGGAAUUUUGGAAGAUUGACUGGACGCUGGAUUGGGAUUUUAGUGAAAAGUGUGCUGUGAACUGUGUGCUGGAUAUUGUUGUUGGGGCUAGUGAUGCGGCAAAGUGGAGUGGGAGAAGUGUUUGGUGGAGAU
rnacentral:lncRNA from 1 species